rnacentral:rRNA from 1 species
UACGUAGGGUGCAAGCGUUGUCCGGAAUUAUUGGGCGUAAAGAGCUCGUAGGCGGCUUGUCGCGUCGGCUGUGAAAACCUGGGGCUCAACCCCGGGCCUGCAUUCGAUACGGGCAGACUAGAGUUCGGUAGGGGAGUCUGGAAUUCCUGGUGUAGCGGUGAAAUGCGCAGAUAUCAGGAGGAACACCGGUGGCGAAGGCGGGACUCUGGGCCGAUACUGACGCUGAGGAGCGAAAGCGUGGGGAGCAAACAGG